GGGGAUGUAGCUCAGUGGUAGAGCGUUCACUUUGCAUGCAAAAGGACCUGGGUUCGAUACCCAACAUCUCCA
rnacentral:tRNA from 1 species